UACGUAGGGGGCGAGCGUUGUCCGGAAUUAUUGGGCGUAAAGGGCUCGUAGGCGGUUUGUCGCGUCGGGAGUGAAAUCCACUGGCUUAACUGGUGGCUUGCUUUCGAUACGGGCAGACUGGAGGUAUGCAGGGGAGAACGGAAUUCCUGGUGUAGCGGUGAAAUGCGCAGAUAUCAGGAGGAACACCGGUGGCGAAGGCGGUUCUCUGGGCAUGUCCUGACGCUGAGGAGCGAAAGUGUGGGGAGCAAACAGG
rnacentral:rRNA from 1 species